CCUUAAAUCCUCAAAUUAGUUAAAAAGUCAAAGUCAACCACCAGGUAAAUAUAUAUAUUAAUUACUGCUAUAUAUUUGGAACUAUCUACCAACACUAAAGUUGCCAAAUAAACUAACUUUUCUCCAAUCCUCUUACAAUUUCAGCAGAUUAACUUCAUUAUAAAAGGUCAACAACAACAUGUUUGCAAACCACAAAUUAGACAAAAUGUUCCAAAAAAUAUCAUAUGUUAUAAUUUUUCUUUGUGCAAUUCUUGAAGUGCAGAGUCUCGAUCACUAUCCUCCAUGUUCAUCUUGUAAAUGUAUUGGCAAUCAAUGUGCUGGAAAUGGGAUGUUUCCUUUAUGGGCUAAAUUGGAAUGGCCUGAAUUAACAUGGAAACAUGAGAAAAAUGCUGUGGCACAAGUCAAAAAGACCAAUCCUUUUGUUACUCCUGUUGUUAUUUACAAACAAGUUACAAAUAUAACAGAUAAUUGUUGUAAUAGAGUUUGGAUCCUUGUGGAUAAACUAGGAGGUAAUGGAAUUGUUACAAAUAUUCCUGCAGUUGGAUAAGGAAUUGAAAAUUCUAUAGGAUAUUUAUUUUCAUUUUAUUAGAUCCGUCAAAGGUGUCAAACGCUAGACCCUUGUGAUAUGAUUUUUUUUUAACUUUGCAAAUAGUGAAAGCGGUUACUCUUUUGUUUUACCCCAUCAAAGAAAAGGAAAAGAAUUUUGGCACUUUGAUGUUCACUUUGUCAGAGAAUUCUUAAGAAAAAUUUAUUAUUAAUGCUCUUUUA